rnacentral:lncRNA from 1 species
AUGGACGUCGCCCUGCAGUUACUGCAGGUGGCGCUGUUCGUCAUGGCGGUGUAUCUGUACCGUGCAUUUGGAGAAGGCCGCGCUCUGAAACGGACCAAUCUGCUGGCUGGCAGAGACCACGCCCCCACCGAUGACCUGGGGGAUCUGAACUACGCCUACAAUGACCAGGUUGGAGCUUACAUAGACCCCCAUCACCUGCCUUAUCACCACGAUGACCACGGCCAGGUGUCUGUGGACCAAGUGCAGAGCUACUAACCUGCUACAAACAUUAUAGGCUCAGGUUCUGGUUCUGGAAACAUGAGCCUCCAACCAGCCUGCGGUCUUAUACCCUCUGUUAUCCAACAGACACAGCUUCUCAGAAUACACACACACAUCUUAGAGCAGGCACAGGCACAAUCAUAUUUCAC